ACCCUGUUUAUUAACAAGGUUUGAGUAAACCUAUAUUGCUUUAAAUUGUAACACCCCUCUUUGAAUUAUCCCUUUAAACCUUUUUUAUGUUUCGACCACCUAGCUGGUAUAUGCCACUGGUGAAGGGAACAAAGAGACCCCUGUCCUAUAGGCCUUGUUUAUGUCAAAACCCAGACCACUUCCCUAAUUCGUAGAGUACAUAAACAAUGAAUGACCAGUGGAUACAUUUACUGGUACUCCCUUUGUCUUAGGGAUAGGGAAUAUUGGGGUUGUUUGCCUGGUUUGGGAGGAAGAUUGGCUCUCCCUUUGAGAGCUAAUUUGGACACCAGCGAGACAAGUCAUAUUUUUAGGAGAGUACAAGAACCAUAUUCUUGUACUGUUAAUUCUUCUACUGUUAAAUAUUGUAUUCUUCGCCUGGUUGUCACCCUCCCUGAACAGAUAUCGGUCGCCCUGUUCAGCCCCUUAAAAGUCCUACUGUAUUAGACGAUCGGAACUGGUUUAGACUGUCCCCCCUGUUACCAAGGCAACGUUCUCCGCCCUGGCCAUAGAUGAACAGAAGGAUUGAUAGUUUUAUACCUCAAGAUAAUUAUAGUCCUUUUCUUUUAAACCUUGUAAAGUUAUUUUACCUGUAUAUGUUAAGAGUUAUCACUGUUAGUUUGUGAAGCCUUGCAUGUCGGCUAAAGAUUCCGCUGAUAUAUAUAACUAUUAUAUGUUUAUCAAUACAUGUUUUUAUGUAUUAUACUUAUUAUUUGGAUGAGUGAUAUUUUGUAGCUUAGCCUACCUUUGAGGUUAAGUGUUAAUAAAUCCUUUUCUUUUGGAUCUUUCACUCAAA